rnacentral:tRNA from 1 species
GCCGGGUUGGCGGAACAGGCAGACGCGUUCGACUUAAAAUCGAAUGGGGUUUCCCCGUGUGGGUUCGAACCCCACACCCGGCACCA